AUUCCACUCCCUGGUACAGCGCUGCCCGUCAUCUGUCCACGUCCGCGUGUGCCGGUCCAUGUCUACAUCUAGAUCUGCGUCUCCAUGAACUGAUUGCACACAUCGCAGUGUCUUGUGGCAUCUGCCUUCUCUGGCUCACUUCGCUCAGUGUGGCCGUCUCUAGGUCCAUCCAUGUUGCUGCAGGUGGCAUUCUCCAUUCCUCUCUGUGACUGACUGAUAUCCCGCUGAGUACAGGCACCGCAUCUCCUUUACCCGUCACGUUCCUUCUAUUGAAAACAAUCCGAAGAAAGAGUGACUUUAUGUAUGCGUAUAGGUGCACCACUUUUCUGUACACCUGAAACCCAAAACUGCAAAUCAACUACACUCAAUACAAUUUUGGAGUGAAACUAUAAAAAAAAUAAUAAAACUUACUCCAAUAAAAAAGAAAUACAAG
ensembl:lncRNA